GAGACGCAAAAAUGGUGGAAGAGGCAGAGGAGGAGGAAGAGCUGGGGUCCACCUCCUGAGCCUACCCAGGCCUGGGAAGUUUAAGGGAAACAGCUUGUGGUGAUCACUGGGGGAAUAAGAACCAGCUCUGGAGAAGCACUGGGAAGUUGGUGAGUGGAGAAGCAAAGAGACUACAGGUAGAGCAGUCUCAUUGCACUUGGUGGAGAAUACACGCGAGCGUACUUAGUGCUGGGUGGGAGGCCGUUGAUGAUAAGCAUCCACGGAGGAAAGGAGCUCCUGAGGCAGAGGCAGCAGAGGGACAGAAUUUGAACUGGAUGUCGGGACCUAGAGAGAAAGAAGAAAAAGAAGCCAUUGGCCCCUGGGUAUGUGCUGCGGGAGGUACGGGAGACUUCUCUGACUUCUAUCUUCUCCCCCAUGGAAUCCACAUCAGUUCCCCCAAGGAUCUGGGAGACCAUAUUUGCAGGUACCUAGGGAGAGGGUGUGUUGUCAGUGUUCACGUCAAAGUAUAAUUUCCACAAAUUAUAAAUACAAUUCCCAGAAUGAUAUAAAAUGAACAUGUCAAAUGUUUUAUUUGACCCAUCCGUGGAGGAAACCACUGGGAUGGUAAACUGAUUAAAAGAAUAUUUGUGGAACUGGGUAUUUAUAAAGCAAUGUUAGAUUAAGAUUACUAGGUUAUACAUAAAACUGGGUAGUAUCCUACAGGGUAGUAAAACUAUAGUCUUUAAGGUUUUACUACCACUCAGAAAUCUAGAAGUUAACAUGUAACUUCAUGGUAUUUGAGUUCUAAUCAGAUAGUAAAUAGCAAAGUCAAACGCAAGUAUAUUCUCCUAGAGAAUGAGCUAAUCCCUGGGAGGGCCUGCUCAACCAUGCUGCUGUAUGACCUUGAGAAGAUAUGCUGUCCCCUCCUCUCCCACCCCCUUGCAACUUCUGCCCGGGUGCCUUAAUAUCAAGUUGUGGAUGGUUUUAACGGUAAAGAAAUACUUUGGAGUUAAAGAUCUGAGCUUGAAUCCCAAUUCCUUUACUUACCAGCUGUGUCAUAUGGGUCAGGUAAUUACCUAUGAUUUACCCAGAUUUACUUGAUGUAAAUUGGGAGGAGCAAGUGAGAUAACUUUUGUAAAAUGCCUGGCACAUGGUAUGUGCUCAAUCUUGGUUCUCUUUACCCUUCCUCUUUUCCAAAUGAAAACAUUUCACCUUUUGUCUGGCCUUCAUAGAUCUCGCUCUCUCUCCCUCUCGCUCUCUCCCUGU